rnacentral:rRNA from 1 species
CGCACGGGUGCGUAACGCGUAACCAACCUACCCACAUCUGGGGGAUAGCCCGCCGAAAGGCGGAUUAAUACCGCAUAAGCUACUUGGCCGGCAUCGGUUGGAUAGUAAAGAUUUAUUGGAUGUGGAUGGGGUUGCGUGCCAUUAGCUAGUUGGGGAGGUAACGGCUCACCAAGGCGACGAUGGCUAGGGGAGCUGAGAGGCUGGUCCCCCACACGGGCACUGAGAUACGGGCCCG